UAAUGGUAAUUGCGGAGAGUUCCUAGUGUUAAUCGGAACUUACUGAGCGUUAAAGCGCACGCAGUCCGAUAUAUCAAGUCGGGAUGUGAAAUCCCCCGGGCUCAACCCUGGGAACUUGCAUUUCGAAAACUGGCAGGGCUAGAGUCUUGUAGAGGGGGGGUAGAAUUUCCAGGUGUAGCGGUGAAAUGCGUAGAGAUCUGGAGGAAUACCGGUGGCGAAGGCGGCCCCCUGGACAAAGACUGACGCUCAGGUGCGAAAGCGUGGGGAGCAAACAGGAUUAGAUACCCUGGUAGUCCACGCCGUAAACGAUGUCGAUUUGGAGGUUGUGCCCUUGAGGCGUGGCUUCCGGAGCUAACGCGUUAAAUCGACCGCCUGGGGAGUACGGCCGCAAGGUUAAAACUCAAAUGAAUUGACGGGGGCCCGCACAAGCGGUGGAGCAUGUGGUUUAAUUCGAUGCAACGCGAAGAACCUUACCUGGUCUUGACAUCCACAGAACUUUCCAGAGAUGGAUUGGUGCCUUCGGGAACUGUGAGACAGGUGCUGCAUGGCUGUCGUCAGCUCGUGUUGUGAAAUGUUGGGUUAAGUCCCGCAACGAGCGCAACCCUUAUCCUUUGUUGCCAGCGGUUCGGCCGGGAACUCAAAGGAGACUGCCAGUGAUAAACUGGAGGAAGGUGGGGAUGACGUCAAGUCAUCAUGGCCCUUACGACCAGGGCUACACACGUGCUACAAUGGCAUAUACAAAGAGAAGCGACCUCGCGAGAGCAAGCGGACCUCAUAAAGUAUGUCGUAGUCCGGAUUGGAGUCUGCAACUCGACUCCAUGAAGUCGGAAUCGCUAGUAAUCGUAGAUCAGAAUGCUACGGUGAAUACGUUCCCGGGCCUUGUACACACCGCCCGUCACACCAUGGGAGUGGGUUGCAAAAGAAGUAGGUAGCUUAACCUUCGGGAGGGCGCUUACCACUUUGUGAUUCAUGACUGGGGUGAAGUCGAGCAUAGGCG
rnacentral:rRNA from 1 species